rnacentral:rRNA from 1 species
UACGUAGGGCGCAAGCGUUGUCCGGAAUUAUUGGGCGUAAAGAGCUUGUAGGUGGCUUGUCGCGUCUGCCGUGAAAACCCGAGGCUCAACCUCGGGCGUGCGGUGGGUACGGGCAGGCUAGAGUGUGGUAGGGGAGACUGGAACUCCUGGUGUAGCGGUGAAAUGCGCAGAUGUCAGGAAGAACACCGAUGGCGAAGGCAGGUCUCUGGGCCAUUACUGACACUGAGAAGCGAAAGCAUGGGUAGCGAACAGGAUUAGAUACCCCGGUA